GAUGAAGAACGUAGCGAAAUGCGAUAAGUAAUGUGAAUUGCAGAAUUCAGUGAAUCAUCGAAUCUUUGAACGCACCUUGCGCCCUUUGGCCGUUCCGAAGGGCAUGCCUGUUUGAGUAUCAUGAACACCUCAACUCUUCAUGGUUUUCCGUGAUGAGCUUGGACUUUGGGGGUCUUGCUGGCCUAUGGUCAGCUCCUCUAAAAUAAAUCAGCUUGCCAGUGUUUGGUGGGUAUCACAGGUGUGAUAACUAUCUACGCUUGUGGUUUUCCACCAGGUAACCUUCAGCAGUGGAGGUUCGCUGGAGCUCACAGAUGUGUCUCUCCUCAGUGAGGACAGCUCUUUGAAUGUUUGAUCUCAAAUCAGGUAGGACUACCCGCUGAACUUAAGCAUAUCAAUAAGCGGAGGA
rnacentral:misc_RNA from 1 species